rnacentral:rRNA from 1 species
UCCUAGCUGUAAACGAUCUGUACUAGUCCGUGGGGACUCCCACAUCUUCUCGGACGUAGCGAAAGUGUUAAGUACAGCGCCUGGGGAGUAUGGUCGCAAGGCUGAAACUCAAGGGAAUUGACGGGGGCUCACACAAGCGGUGGAGGAUGUGGCUUAAUUCGAGACUACGCGAAGAACCUUACCUAGACUUAACAUGUUUGAGAAUCUCUGUGAAAGCAGAGAGUGCCC